GUGGGGAAUAUUGGGCAAUGGGCGAAAGCCUGACCCAGCAACGCCGCGUGAAGGAAGAAGGUUUUCGGAUCGUAAACUUCUAUCCUUGGUGAAGAUAAUGACGGUAGCCAAGAAGGAAGCCCCGGCUAACUACGUGCCAGCAGCCGCGGUAAUACGUAGGGGGCAAGCGUUGUCCGGAAUGAUUGGGCGUAAAGGGCGCGUAGGCGGCCUGGUAAGUCUGGAGUGAAAGUCCUGCUUUUAAGGUGGGAAUUGCUUUGGAUACUGCUGGGCUUGAGUGCAGGAGAGGUAAGUGGAAUUCCCGGUGUAGCGGUGAAAUGCGUAGAGAUCGGGAGGAACACCAGUGGCGAAGGCGACUUACUGGACUGUAACUGACGCUGAGGCGCGAAAGUGUGGGGAGCAAACAGGAUUAGAUACCCCGGUAGUCC
rnacentral:rRNA from 1 species